rnacentral:rRNA from 1 species
AUGGCCAACCGCGGCGGCGCGUCCGCUGCUCCGUGUGGAAAUGGCGAAGGAUCGGGACGACUCCGACGACGAUGCCUGCCGAGGCGGGGGCAGAUCAAGGCGAGGAUAGCGUCCUCCGCCGUGCACUCCGUCGCCUCGGUGCUCCUGAGAGCUGUAGGAAGACGCCAUCACAAGCUAGCAUCUUCCGCCGGCAUCGUCUGGUUCUGA